rnacentral:rRNA from 1 species
UUGGAGGGCAAGUCUGGUGCCAGCAGCCGCGGUAAUUCCAGCUCCAAUAGCGUGUAUUAAAGUUGUUGCAGUUAAAAAGCUCGUAGUUGAAUUUCGGGAUCAAUAUGUCGGUCGUGCUUUUGGUACGUACUGGCAUCAUUGGUUUCUCCCUUCUGACAAACCAUGAUGUCAUUAAUUUGGUGUUAUGGGGAGUUAGGACUGUUACUUUGAAAAAAUUAGAGUGUUUAAAGCAGGCAUUAGCUUGAAUACAUUAGCAUGGAAUAAUGAAAUAGGACGUUUGACUCUAUUUUGUUGGUUUCUAGGAUCGACGUAAUGAUUAAUAGGGAUAGUUGGGGGCAUUAGUAUUCAAUUGUCAGAGGUGAAAUUCUUGGAUUUAUUGAAGACUAACUACUGCGAAAGCAUUUGCCAAGGAUGUUUUCAUUAAUCAAGAACGAAAGUUAGGGGAUCGAAGACGAUCAGAUACCGUCGUAGUCUUAACCAUAAACUAUGCCGACUAGGGAUCGGAUGAUGUUAAUUUUUUAAUGACUCAUUCGGCGCUUUACGGGAAAC